UACGUAGGUGGCAAGCGUUGUCCGGAAUUAUUGGGCGUAAAGCGCGCGCAGGCGGUCCUUUAAGUCUGAUGUGAAAGCCCACGGCUCAACCGUGGAGGGUCAUUGGAAACUGCGGAGCUUGAAUAUGGAAGAGGGUCGCGGAAUUCCCGGUGUAGAGGUGAAAUUCGUAGAUAUCGGGAGGAACACCAGUGGCGAAGGCGGCGACCUGGGCCAAUAUUGACGCUGAGGUGCGAAAGCGUGGGGAGCAAACAGG
rnacentral:rRNA from 1 species